UACAGAGGGUGCAAGCGUUUGUUCGGAAUUAUUGGGCGUAAAGGGCGCGUAGGCGGUGCUGUAAGUCUGUGGUGAAAUCUCUGGGCUCAACUCAGAGUCUGCCAUAGAAACUGCAGUGCUGGAGUGUGGGAGAGGUGAGUGGAAUUCCCGGUGUAGCGGUGAAAUGCGUAGAGAUCGGGAGGAACAUCUGUGGCGAAGGCGGCCACCUGGACCAACACUGACACUGAGGCACGAAAGCGUGGGGAGCAAACAGG
rnacentral:rRNA from 1 species